GACGAACGCUGGCGGCGUGCUUAACACAUGCAAGUCGAACGGAAAGGCCCUGCUUUUGUUGGGUGCUCGAGUGGCGAACGGGUGAGUAACACGUGAGUAACCUGCCCUUGACUUUGGGAUAACUUCAGGAAACUGGGGCUAAUACCGGAUAGGAGCUCCUGCUGCAUGGUGGGGGUUGGAAAGUUUCGGCGGUUGGGGAUGGACUCGCGGCUUAUCAGCUUGUUGGUGGGGUAGUGGCUUACCAAGGCUUUGACGGGUAGCCGGCCUGAGAGGGUGACCGGCCACAUUGGGACUGAGAUACGGCCCAGACUCCUACGGGAGGCAGCAGUGGGGAAUAUUGCACAAUGGGCAGAAGCCUGAUGCAGCAACGCCGCGUGCGGGAUGACGGCCUUCGGGUUGUAAACCGCUUUCGCCUGUGACGAAGCGUGAGUGACGGUAAUGGGUAAAGAAGCACCGGCUAACUACGUG
rnacentral:rRNA from 1 species